rnacentral:rRNA from 1 species
UACGGAGGGGGCUAGCGUUGUUCGGAAUUACUGGGCGUAAAGGGCGCGUAGGCGGUCAGCACAAGUCAGUUGUGAAAUCUCCGGGCUUAACUCGGAAAGGUCAACUGAUACUGUGCGGCUAGAGUGCGGAAGGGGCAACUGGAAUUCUUGGUGUAGCGGUGAAAUGCGUAGAUAUCAAGAGGAACACCUGCGGCGAAGGCGGGUUGCUGGGCCGACACUGACGCUGAGGCGCGAAAGCCAGGGGAGCGAACGGG